CAUUAAGAAUGCAGAUCUUAUAGCGCUUCCC
rnacentral:piRNA from 1 species